GAUGAACGCUGACAGAAUGCUUAACACAUGCAAGUCAACUUGGACUUCGGUUUGGGUGGCGGACGGGUGAGUAACGCGUAAAGAACUUGCCUCACAGAUAGGGACAACAUUUGGAAACGAAUGCUAAUACCUGAUAUUAUGAUUUUAGGGCAUCCUAGAAUUAUGAAAGCUAUAUGCGCUGUGAGAGAGCUUUGCGUCCCAUUAGCUAGUUGGAGAGGUAACGGCUCACCAAGGCGAUGAUGGGUAGCCGGCCUGAGAGGGUGAUCGGCCACAAGGGGGCUGAGACACGGCCCUUACUCCUACGGGAGGCAGCAGUGGGGAAUAUUGGACAAUGGACCAAGAGUCUGAUCCAGCAAUUCUGUGUGCACGAUGAAGUUUUUCGGAAUGUAAAGUGCUUUCAGUUGGGAAGAAGAAAAUGACGGUACCAACAGAAGAAGUGACGGCUAAAUACGUGCCAGCAGCCGCGGUAAUACGUAUGUCACAAGCGUUAUCCGGAUUUAUUGGGCGUAAAGCGCGUCUAGGUGGUUAUAUAAGUCUGAUGUGAAAAUGCAGGGCUCAACUCUGUAUUGCGUUGGAAACUGUGUAACUAGAGUACUGGAGAGGUAAGCGGAACUACAAGUGUAGAGGUGAAAUUCGUAGAUAUUUGUAGGAAUGCCGAUGGGGAAGCCAGCUUACUGGACAGAUACUGACGCUGAAGCGCGAAAGCGUGGGUAGCAAACAGG
rnacentral:rRNA from 1 species